rnacentral:rRNA from 1 species
UACGAAGGGGGCUAGCGUUGUUCGGAAUCACUGGCGUAAAGGGCGCGUAGGCGGCUUUAUAAGUCGGGGGUGAAAGCCUGUGGCUCAACCACAGAAUUGCCUUCGAUACUGUAGAGCUUGAGACCGGAAGAGGUAAGUGGAACUGCGAGUGUAGAGGUGAAAUUCGUAGAUAUUCGCAAGAACACCAGUGCGAAGGCGGCUUACUGGUCCGGUUCUGACGCUGAGGCGCGAAAGCGUGGGGAGCAAAGCAGG